rnacentral:rRNA from 1 species
CUACGGGAGGCAGCAGUGGGGAAUUUUUCGCAAUGGGGGAAACCCUGACGAAGCAACGCCGCGUGGAGGAUGAAGGUCUUCGGAUCGUAAACUCCUGUCGAUCGGGACGAAAACGGAGCGACCUAAUACGUCGAAUCGUUGACUGUACCGGUGGAGGAAGCCACGGCCAACUCUGUGCCAGCAGCCGCGGUAAUACAGAGGUGGCGAGCGUUGUUCGGAAUUAUUGGGCGUAAAGGGCGCGUAGGUGGUCCUGCAAGUCCUGUGUGAAAUCCCUCAGCUCAACUGAGGAACUGCACGGGAAACUGCUCGACUUGAGUUCGGGAGAGGGACGCGGAAUUCCGGGUGUAGCGGUGAAAUGCGCAGAUAUCCGGAGGAACACCAGAGGCGAAGGCGGCGUCCUGGACCGACACUGACACUGAGGCGCGAAAGCUAGGGGAGCAAACGGGAUUAGAUACCCUCGUAC